GUAGUGGCAAUAUAACACCUUACUGCAAAUCUCGUUUUCCCUUCCCUUCCACGGCUACGGCGCUCCAAAACCCUAACGUCUCUAUCCAAUCGGUCAAAUUAAAGAGAAGUGAAGAAAAUGAGCAGAGGUGGAGCAGUUGGUGCCGGUGGAGCCAAGGGGAAGAAGAAGGGAGCAACUUUCACUAUUGAUUGCUCGAAGCCAGUCGAGGAUAAGAUCAUGGAUAUUGCCUCUCUCGAAAAGUUCCUCCAGGAGCGCAUCAAAGUCGGCGGCAAAGCCGGGGCUCUCGGUGAUUCCGUCACCGUCACUCGUGAGAAGUCUAAGAUUAACGUCACCUCUGACUCCAACUUCUCCAAACGGUAUCUGAAAUACUUGACAAAGAAGUACUUGAAGAAGCACAAUGUGCGAGACUGGCUUCGGGUCAUUGCUUCCAACAAGGAUCGUAAUGUUUACGAGCUGAGAUACUUUAACAUUGCUGAGAAUGAACGAGAGGAUGAAGAAUAGAAUGAAUCGAAGGCUAAAGGGAUUAACAAUUUUGAAGCCGUCGGCGAUGAUCAAAGGAGUGAGAAAAAGGACACUUGUCAAAUGACUCAAAGGUUGAAAAUCCAAGACAGUAUGGUAAAUGACAAGGGAGAAGGUGGGGUUGGCGUGGCACUAAUAUUGACAAUCACGCCAAGUCACAAAUUAUCGUGGCCACCCAUGGACGGACCUUGCCUUGAAUCCUCAACCUUCAAAUACUAGAACCCACUAGAGACGUUACCUAGAAGUAAGCAAAUAACACCCCUCCACCUCCCUAAUCAUGUGCACUCUCUAUUGUCCAUUCACUUUCAAUGUACUUUCACAUGCCUGUUAUAUCUAUACCUAAAUUUGUCCUAAUCCAAGCACCAUCAUCGUCACCAACUAAGGCAAAGAUAAUUUAUAAUUGAGUGCAAAGUCUAUUGAAUAAUUCCACAAUAG
rnacentral:misc_RNA from 1 species